CUAGGAUCACAUACAAGGUCAUGAGUUAGGUCUUGAGUUUUCAGAUCGCAGAGGGAUAAUGGUUCUCCCUCUAAUCUACCUAUGACAUUGUCCUCAGGCCUGCAAUCUACCCUUCCAUCAGCACCAUCUCCUUCCCUUGCUUCAGAGAUGGCACCUCCUUUGUUAUCGAACAAAGCUCCUAUUGCUGUACAUUUGCUUCCCUUUUCUCGGUCAACUACUAGAACAGCUCAUGAACUAUAUAGCCAUGUAUCCCAAUUAAUCUUCUUGUUGACAGAGAUCACAUCAGGUAAUUAAGCUUCACUGAAGAUUUCGAUUUCACUGCUAUGAUUAAAAAGUUCAAUAAGGAUGAAGUAUGGGGGACAUCUUGGGAAGAGCACUGAUGGUGAUGAGGAUUCCCCGUUCGUAGAUGAAGCUGAGCUGCCUAAGAUCGAUGCCAAACCUGUUUACAACAAAGAUGACUUUUUCUGAUACCAAAAUGCAAGGCCUAGGUUCUCAGAACUACGGAAACUAGAUACUGAUGUACAAUCUAUAUCUUUCCAUGCUCAAAAAAGCAGACUGGACAUAGCUCAUAACUAGACUCCCCUCUGGUUUCUGGAGAUACUCAAUUUUCCAGUAUCUUAAGAGAAUCCACACUGACUCUUAAUACGCUGUAACUCUGUGAUUCCAGACAUUUGGUGAGUUCUCAAGAUUCAGAGAAGGCCGAGGAAGGCGUGAUGGUUAUGGUCGAAACGGUUAUUCACGUGGUGGUUAUGGUGGGCGUGGUUAUAGCGGCUAUAAUGGGCGUGGUGGUGGUGCAGGCGGCUAUGGAUAUGGUAGUCCUGGCCAAGGGAGAGGUGUAUCAAAUCUUACUUCGUAAAAGUGGUGUUAAAAAGGUUCUAAAGGCUCGAGAAUUAGAUGCGCUCGUCAUAUGCUCUCGAGUGCUUUUGUGAUGUUACAAUAAAACAAAAAAAAACUUGAUUGUUAUGUAAUGUUUUUCUUUGUUAACCUCCCACACACUGUGUGGUCUCGAGGUGUACCAAUUUGUUUUGAGACUUGGUAAUAAUAUAGUGUUUUUCAGUAUUCAAUGUAGUUUAGA